CCCAUUGAGUUGAGAAAGAACAGACAAACCAUUUUUUCAUAUUGCAAACAUGACUGUUCUGCAGGCGCGGACUGGCCUUUGGGCCGAACUUUCUUCCCAGUCCACCCCUGCUAUUCUGUUCUCUCUUCUUCUGUUUUUGGUGACUAAAAGGGACACUUCUGCACAGUCAACAUCAAACAUGAUACAACCAUCAUCCUCUGAGAAACAUGUUCUUGAGGGAGAAAGUGUGACUCUUUCUUGUAACUAUACUGAAACUGUUACUGUGUCCUCACUCCAGUGGUAUCGACAGUAUCUCAGAUCAGCUCCAGAGUUUCUGCUUCUUGUCACUGAAUAUGAAGGCAAAUCUGAGCCUGGUCUUCGUCUGUCAUCAAAAGCUACUAAAGAAGAAAAACGAGUUGAACUGGAGAUCUCUUCUGCUGCUGUAACAGACUCUGCUGUGUACUACUGCGCCCUGCAACCCACAGUGACAGGAAACCCAACUACACUGUACAAAAACUAAAGACAAAUCACUGAUUCUUGAGAUAAGGAACAAAACAUGUUUAAGUUUUUAUUUUUCAGUACUAAAUUAAUUACAAUUGGAUACGAACCAUGUAAGGGAACAGUUUUUUUUUUUUUCUUCCUUCCUGAAAACUGACAACUUUGAUAGACAGUUUUAUGGAAAGUAUAAUUUAAAGUUAUAAUUUGUUGCAUUUUUAAACACUUUAUUUUGCAGUUUAAAAUUGUGACUUCUUGCUGAGGACAGGGUAAGUUACAUGUGCUUCCAAGUAUAGAGCAUGCAUUUAAAAAAAUAAUGAAAU